CAAAUUCAUAUUCAUAAUAAAUAUUUAGUUUUUCAAUAAAAAUUGUUGUAAAUAAUAUAAAACACAACCUUUACAAAAUUAUGGACCAUUUAAAAUGUAUAUCGUAAAAGAAUUCCUUUUGUUUCUUCAUGAUAGCUUUUGUGCGCUGACUAUCUUUCUAAUAAACCAAAUUUUAUUGGUAUUUCAAGAAGUUGUAAAAUUUUCCCUGAUACUAUUUAUGGUAUAUUCGAUUGGAAUGGCGAUUUUUGAUUUCUGGGAUGCUGUGCUCCAUGGAAGAUUACCAUCUUCAGGUGAUAUAUUUCCACAAAUUUCCCGUCCAAUACCAAUGAAUUAUGAAAGCGAUUAUGAAUUGGAUCAAAUUUUACGUAAUCCGCCACCGAGCCGAAACAGUUUAAUCGCUCAAUUGGAAAGAGACGUUGAAGAGGCAAACACAAAGAUGAAAGAACUUUUACCAUCCGACAUUGAAUUUGAGCAGUUCAUUAAUGCUGAAUUACGAAAUUCUCAAAUGUCCUUGGAUAUACAACCUAGAUCGUCAUAUUUUGAAAAUUUACCCAACGCUGUGAGGAAUAAAGGAAACGGACAAUUAGAUAAUGAAACAAGCGCAGAUGAUGGAAAUAAUCAAAUAAAAUAAUAUUGUUUCGACAAAGAGUCUUCACUACAAAAAUCAUAUUAAAAUUUGCGACUAGAAAUUCCAAGAUAACAUCCAGUAAAA